GACGUAGGGCGCGAGCGUUGUCCGGAUUUAUUGGGCGUAAAGAGCUCGUAGGCGGUGUGUCGCGUCGGCCGUGAAAACCUGCAGCUUAACUGUGGGCUUGCGGUCGAUACGGGCAUCACUGGAGUUCGGCAGGGGAGACUGGAAUUCCUGGUGUAGCGGUGAAAUGCGCAGAUAUCAGGAGGAACACCGGUGGCGAAGGCGGGUCUCUGGGCCGAUACUGACGCUGAGGAGCGAAAGCGUGGGGAGCAAACAGG
rnacentral:rRNA from 1 species